GGUUGAAGGUUAGGUAACACUGACUGGAGGACCGAACCCACUCCCGUUGAAAAGGUAGGGGAUGACUUGUGGAUCGGAGUGAAAGGCUAAUCAAGCUCGGAGAUAGCUGGUUCUCCUCGAAAGCUAUUUAGGUAGCGCCUCAUGUAUCACUCUGGGGGGUAGAGCACUGUUUCGGCUAGGGGGUCAUCCCGACUUACCAAACCGAUGCAAACUCCGAAUACCCAGAAGUGCCGAGCAUGGGAGACACACGGCGGGUGCUAACGUCCGUCGUGAAAAGGGAAACAACCCAGACCGCCAGCUAAGGUCCCAAAGUUGUGGUUAAGUGGUAAACGAUGUGGGAAGGCUUAGACAGCUAGGAGGUUGGCUUAGAAGCAGCCACCCUUUAAAGAAAGCGUAAUAGCUCACUAGUCGAGUCGGCCUGCGCGGAAGAUGUAACGGGGCUCAAACCACACACCGAAGCUGCGGGUGUCACGUAAGUGACGCGGUAGAGGAGCGUUCUGUAAGCCUGUGAAGGUGAGUUGAGAAGCUUGCUGGAGGUAUCAGAAGUGCGAAUGCUGACAUGAGUAACGACAAUGGGUGUGAAAAACACCCACGCCGAAAGACCAAGGGUUCCUGCGCAACGUUAAUCGACGCAGGGUUAGUCGGUUCCUAAGGCGAGGCUGAAAAGCGUAGUCGAUGGGAAACAGGUUAAUAUUCCUGUACUUCUGGUUACUGCGAUGGAGGGACGGAGAAGGCUAGGCCAGCUUGGCGUUGGUUGUCCAAGUUUAAGGUGGUAGGCUGAAAUCUUAGGUAAAUCCGGGGUUUCAAGGCCGAGAGCUGAUGACGAGUCGUCUUUUAGAUGACGAAGUGGUUGAUGCCAUGCUUCCAAGAAAAGCUUCUAAGCUUCAGGUAACCAGGAACCGUACCCCAAACCGACACAGGUGGUCGGGUAGAGAAUACCAAGGCGCUUGAGAGAACUCGGGUGAAGGAACUAGGCAAAAUGGCACCGUAACUUCGGGAGAAGGUGCGCCGGCUAGGGUGAAGGAUUUACUCCAUAAGCUCUGGCUGGUCGAAGAUACCAGGCCGCUGCGACUGUUUAUUAAAAACACAGCACUCUGCAAACACGAAAGUGGACGUAUAGGGUGUGACGCCUGCCCGGUGCCGGAAGGUUAAUUGAUGGGGUUAGCGCAAGCGAAGCUCUUGAUCGAAGCCCCGGUAAACGGCGGCCGUAACUAUAACGGUCCUAAGGUAGCGAAAUUCCUUGUCGGGUAAGUUCCGACCUGCACGAAUGGCGUAACGAUGGCGGCGCUGUCUCCACCCGAGACUCAGUGAAAUUGAAAUCGCUGUGAAGAUGCAGUGUAUCCGCGGCUAGACGGAAAGACCCCGUGAACCUUUACUGUAGCUUUGCACUGGACUUUGAGCCUGCUUGUGUAGGAUAGGUGGGAGGCUUUGAAGCGUGGACGCCAGUUCGCGUGGAGCCAUCCUUGAAAUACCACCCUGGCAUGCUUGAGGUUCUAACUCUGGUCCGUAAUCCGGAUCGAGGACAGUGUAUGGUGGGCAGUUUGACUGGGGCGGUCUCCUCCUAAAGAGUAACGGAGGAGUACGAAGGUGCGCUCAGACCGGUCGGAAAUCGGUCGCAGAGUAUAAAGGCAAAAGCGCGCUUGACUGCGAGACAGACACGUCGAGCAGGUACGAAAGUAGGUCUUAGUGAUCCGGUGGUUCUGUAUGGAAGGGCCAUCGCUCAACGGAUAAAAGGUACUCCGGGGAUAACAGGCUGAUACCGCCCAAGAGUUCAUAUCGACGGCGGUGUUUGGCACCUCGAUGUCGGC
rnacentral:rRNA from 1 species